rnacentral:sRNA from 1 species
ACGCUCCACGCCGUCGCAGCCACUGCUGUGGUCGCCGGUCGGCCGAGGGGCCGCGAUACUGGUUGCCCGCGGUGUAAGCAGAAUUCGACGUGUAUCGCUGCCGUGAAGAUGGAGGGGCCUUUGUCCGUGUUCGGUGACCGCAGCACUGGGGAAACGAUCCGCUCCCAGAACGUUAUGGCUGCAGCUUCGAUUGCCAAUAUUGUAAAAAGUUCUCUUGGUCCAGUUGGCUUGGAUAAAAUGUUGGUGGAUGAUAUUGGUGUAAGUACACAUAACUGUUGUGUUAGUUUCCUUAAAGUAAAACUAUCUUCAGUGUUUUGCUAUGUUCUUUCUUUGACUUUAUCAGAAUCCACGUACUGGAAGGUGAUAUUAAAGGUGAACGUGUAUUAUAAUGGGGCUGUGUUGAUUUCUAUAAGUGGUUCAUAUUUUUUCCUGCGAAUUUCUUAGGAUGUAACCAUUACUAACGAUGGUGCAACCAUCCUGAAGUUACUGGAGGUAGAACAUCCUGCAGCUAAAGUUCUUUGUGAGCUGGCUGAUCUGCAAGACAAAGAAGUUGGAGAUGGAACUACUUCAGU